CUUUAGUUCUCACAACGCCAGGAGAAGUUAUUUGUGCAUACUUUCUCAUUUUAGUAGUCUACAAACCGCAGGUCCCUAGCUGACAUACCGUCUCUGGUAUUCUCAGAGAACUAAAAGGACAUGGAUAUGAAGCCUCUGAUCAUCCUCCUCCUGCUAGCAGCAGCUAUCACCACCACCACCACCA